rnacentral:rRNA from 1 species
UACAGAGGUCUCAAGCGUUGUCCGGAAUUAUUGGGCGUAAAGAGCUCGUAGGCGGUCUGUCGCGUCGGGAUGUGAAAGCCCGGGGCUUAACCCCGGGUCUGCAUUCGAUACGGGCAGACUAGAGUGUGGUAGGGGAGAUCGGAAUUCCUGGUGUAGCGGUGAAAUGCGCAGAUAUCAGGAGGAACACCGGUGGCGAAGGCGGAUCUCUGGGCCAUUACUGACGCUGAGGAGCGAAAGCGUGGGGAGCGAACAGG